UACGAAGGGUGCUAGCGUUGUUCGGAAUCACUGGGCGUAAAGCGCGCGUAGGCGGCUUAGCAAGUCAGAGGUGAAAUGCCAGGGCUCAACCCUGGAACUGCCUUUGAAACUGCUAAGCUAGAGUGUCGGAGGGGAUAGCGGAAUUGCUAAUGUAGAGGUGAAAUUCGUAGAUAUUAGCAGGAACACCGGUGGCGAAGGCGGCUAUCUGGACGACAACUGACGCUUAGGCGCGAAAGCGCGGGGAUCAAACAGG
rnacentral:rRNA from 1 species